UGGGGAAUAUUGGACAAUGGGGGAAACCCUGAUCCAGCGACGCCGCGUGGGUGAAGAAGGCCUGCGGGUUGUAAAGCCCUUUCGGUAGGGACGAAAGCUCUCGACCUAACACGUCGGGAGGUUGACUUAACCUACAAAAGAAGCACCGGCUAACUCUGUGCCAGCAGCCGCGGUAAUACAGAGGGUGCGAGCGUUAAUCGGAAUUACUGGGCGUAAAGCGCACGUAGGCGGCUUGGUAUGUCGGGUGUGAAAUCCCCGGGCUCAACCUGGGAACUGCAUCCGAAACUGCCUUGCUCGAGUAUGGGAGAGGGAAGUGGAAUUUCCGGUGUAGCGGUGAAAUGCGUAGAUAUCGGAAGGAACAUCAGUGGCGAAGGCGACUUCCUGGACCAAUACUGACGCUCAGGUGCGAAAGCGUGGGGAGCAAACA
rnacentral:rRNA from 1 species